UCAACUCUUUCUCUCAAAAUUUUUUUGUCUUUCAAAGAGUUCAGCCCUCAGCCCCUCCUCUUCUCUCAUCGCUCCAUGCCUCCACAUGCCGCCUCCACACAUCGGCCUUCCUGCACCAGCCUCCACGGCCUCCACACGCUAGUCUCCACACGCCGGGCUCCCAACGCCGGCUAAUCUUUUCAUAUUCACGGAAACUUUUUUUGGGUGGAGUCAGGAGGAGUCCAAUCCGUUAGUGUGCAACAUAGGCCCAGUCUGAGAUUUACUUAAGUAGGAAUACUUAGACCCAACGGAAACCCAGCACACUUAAGCCUUUUUCCCUCGAGCUACUGCAGCCCAAACUCUAUCAAACCCACACACAAAGCCCAACUGGCAUUAAAAGCCCCAUUUAAUUAAAAACCUUAAACCCACUCCACUCAGAUUCCCUCUAACACCACUCGGCCCAUCAGUUUUUCCAAAACCUUCAAAUAAAAUAAAACCAGCUCACAUGAAUCCCAAUUCAACCCCAAAAUUUACCAACAAUCCAAAGGCUAAAAAAACCCCCAAGUCAUUCUCUCUCAAUUACUCAGAAGUUUUCACAGCCCAAGCAAACCCACUAGGCAGUAUCAUACAUACACCCAUUUGUCCACCGCCUCCCUCCUAAUAUAUAACAACACAAACACAAGCACAAACAAGCAAUACGCUCUCUGCUCUCUCUUUUUCAUAGUCGUCCGUUUGUUUGGCUUGCGUCGCUCCGUUUCUAUCGGAUCCACUCUUCGCAAAGCAAAUUGCAAUUUGGUGAUUUGCUCUCUCUUGGUGCAUUGCAACUUUUGGAUUUGAUUUGUGGCUCUCUUUUUGGUUUGUGCGCAAUUGGUAUUUGACAUUCUGUAUUCGUAUUUGGUAUUUGUGAACCUUUGGGUCUUUGAUUCAUAUUUGGUUCUUUGGUUUUGUAUUUGUGAGAAAGAGUUAUUUGGGUGUAUUUGGGAUUUGGGUUUAUGAGAGUAUCUCUACACCAAUUUGUAUCAUCUCAAAUUUGUCAUAGUGAAAUUUGUUCGUUGUCACCCGUGGAUGUAGGCUAUUGCCGAA